rnacentral:snRNA from 1 species
AUCGCUUCUCCACCUCUUGGCUAAGAUCAAGUGUAAUAUCUUCCUAUCAGUUUAAUAUGUGAUAUGCCCUCUAUCCGAGGACAAUAUAUUAAGUGGGUUUUUGGAGCAGGGAGUGGGAAUAGGUGGCUCCGAUGGUAAAGCGUCUACCUCCA